rnacentral:tRNA from 1 species
GGGCAUAUAGCUCAAACGGUAGAGUGCGUGCUUAGCAUGCAUGAGCUCCCGGGUUCAAUCCCCAGUACCUCCU